ACACACAGCAGUCUGUGUUUAGACAGUUUGGGAUAGUUUGCUGUUCUGCAGUUGGUUAGGAAGGAAACUGGGAUUCACUCAGCUGUAGAUUAAAGUCUUGUUUGUGUCCACAUCAGCUGAACAUGGAGGAACUGGAGCCGUUUCUACACAGAUAUGUCCUAUUUAUCAAUGGAAUGACGCAACUCAAAAGCCCUGAAAACUCUGGAAAAUAUGGAAUAGAUCCGCAGUCCAUGUUGUGGUCGCUUUACCAAGAACCGACCACAAGAUGGAGCAGAACGGAGGAACCUGAGGAAAACCCGUCCACCUACCACUUCCUGCUGCUUAGAGACAAAACAGAGACAUAAAUAACUCAACUGACCCACAAUAAAUACCAGAAGUUCUUUUA